GGGAGGGAGGGAGGGAGGGGGAGGACGGGAGUGAAAAAUUAUAUAAAAAAGACAAAGGCACUUACUGUAAGUAGCUCCCUUUACCCAAGAAACACCAAACUGAUUCCUUUUCUCUCUCUCUCUCUCUCUCUCUCUCCAAAGGAGCGGGUGAAACGGAGCUGAUUUCUCCUUGUUUUUCUCUGGACCAGAUGAAUCCAAUUCAUCAUCCCUCCAGCAUUUGCAAGGCAAGUCUUUUGAAUCUUUUCUUUUAGAUGAGAGGUACAGUUAGUAUGAUGCCCUGCAUUGUAAAGGUCAGAGCAAAAGCAAAGCAUGCUGCUUAUAUCUAACGCUUCAAGCACUCUCUAGGCACUUUACAAGUUGCUCAUGCAGGCUACCUGAGGCAGCUCCCUGGGGUUGAACCCUGGGCUGUCAGCACAGUUUUGGCUGCAGUACAGCAGUAGCAGCCGUAUCUCUACAUGAGUGGGUGCCAUGUCUGUUUGGUCAUCCCCCAUCAUCAAGAGGGAUGGACUUCAGGCCUCCAGGUAUGACUCCCCAGCUUUUCCUAGAGUGCUGGGUCUGCCUCUCCCGCAAGGACUGGACGACAUGGGCCAGAUGACAGUCAAGUCGGCUGAAGUCUUCACCUCGAGGGUAGCCUCAAGUCAAGGGUGUCGUUCUUGGUGUUCAUGGUGGGGUGACCCUAGCUUGUUCCUCAUAUUUUCAGGUGUUUCUCUUAUUGCUCCCAAUCCUACUUAGCUGAAGUGCUGAUGCCCAAAGGGCGGGGUCUUUUGGUGAGAGGCAAAUUCUGGUCGGUCAGGUGUGUGGGGCUUCCCCAAAUUGUCUUCUGUCUCUUUUUAAUAUCCAGAUGUUGCUCCUGCAAGGCCUUUAUUUGGCCAAGGGAAGAGAGGGAUGGAAGAGGUCUCUCUCCUUUCAACUAAUCUGGGGCCCCCUUUGGAACCGUAUCUUCCUUCAGCACAUCAUAUUUUCUACAGCAUGCGGACGUGGUGUUCGACACGGUGAUCCACUCUCUCCCCUACUCUUUGUCAUGACAAUUGAUGAGGACAUUCUUAGAAGUGCCAUCCCCGACUUGGGUUUCAACUUGGAUGGUUGCAGUAUUCCCACACUGGCUUAUGCUGGGAGAACGGCAGCAAAGUGCCAUCCCCGACUUGGGUUUCAACUUAGAUGGUUGCAGUAUUCCCACACUGGCGUAUGCGGACGACCUGAUUCUCUCAGCUGGGAGAACGGCAGCUUGGCCAUGCACCGCCAUCACGGACAUCCUGAUGCAGUCACUCGCCUCACUACAAACCGCCUGGCCUGGACGAGUAAAGAUGAUGCCUGCCGCCUCCGUCACGCCUCAAAUCUCUGGCAACCUGGCAUGCUCAAGAAACAUCACCGUGAGCUCUUGGUCACCCUCUUCCCUGGUCGAUCUGCUGAGUCACUGAGGAAACGUCUCCAGCUUCUCAAAUGGUCGCUGUGCCCUUUAUACCUUUGGGCUUUACCAAGAGUGGGUGCGCCCCCUGAAGUAACCAACCCUACACCAUCCUGGAGACUCGACCUACUCAACUACGCCAUUGAAUGUCUCCGCAAGCCCAAACUAGGGGCAGAUGACCUUUGAUCUUUGGCACUCGACCUUCGUUCUGGUGCUCUAUCUCCAGCCCAAGGCACCUCCAUACUUGACGACCAUGCUAAGCGCCACUUCCCUCACACCUAGCAUCCUUCGAAACGCAGAGGUCUCAACCUAACCCAGCCAUGCUCACAAAAAACAAAUCCGUCGGGCGAACUACGAUACGGUGCAAAGACUGUACCAUCUUUGCAAGAAGGACAUGUGUCCUCUCUGGUUGUUGGCGCUCUGCGUACCGUGGACCCACAGAUACGUUUGCUGGAUUGGAUUAUUACUGGUCGAAGAUAUUCGAAGAACCCUCGGUACCUGAUCAUCGUAGUGCCACUCCUCCAUUAUCCCUGAGCUGGUCCAUAAUAUCCAGCAUUACAGCUCCUGAGGUUACCAAAGCCCUGCGUGAUAUGGGGAAUUCGGCUGCCGGUCUGGACCGACUUACUCUUCCUGCUCUUCUCUCCUGGGACCAACCCUCGCUGGCUGCCUACUUCAGUGUGCUCCUCAUCGUGGAAUCAGCCCCCUCGCAAUUGUCAAAAUCGUGAGUGGUGUUUCUUCGCAAGAAAGAAGACCCGUCAGGCCACCUGACUUCCAACCUAUCUCCAUCUCAUCUACCAUCCUUCGUGCCUUCCAUAAAGUUCUGGCCCGCCACAUCACCUCCACUCUGGAUUUCUCUCAACUACAACAUGCUUUCCUACAAUGAGAUGGCUGCUUUGAAGCCUCCUCCUUGCUCCAUACUAUCCUACGCAAGAUCCAGGAUGAUCGGGUUCCUACAUCAAUGCUCUUUCUGGACAUCUCCAAGGCCUUCGUCUCAGUCUUCAACCAAACCCUGCUCAGUGUGGCGAAGUCCUCCGGUAUCCCUCCUCCUCUAACUCGGUACCUGGACUCGCUAUAUGCCCAUCCUGUAGCCCAACUGGAAUCAAGGUCUACAACAUGCGGACGUGGUGUUCGACAGGGCAAUCCACUCUCUCCCCUGCUCUUCAUCAUGACGAUUGAGAACAUCCUCCAAAGCGUCAUCCCCGACCUGGGCUUCAACUUAGACAGUUGCAACAUCCCUGUGCUAGCCUACGCAGAUGACCUGGUUCUCUUUGCAGGAAGACCCGAGAGGCUACAGGAGAAGCUCGAUGGCUUGGUAGCAUCCCUGUGCUGGGCCAGUAUGUCGCUCAACACCAAGAAGUUGAUUGUCCUCACAAUCGCCAAGGACAGGAAGCACAAGACAAUGGUCCUUCUUCCAUCUACCUACCGCCUUGUCUCCGACGAGAUCCAGCCUCUCGGUCCAUCCGAUACAGUCCGGUACCUCGGCCUUGAAUUCCACUGGAAAGGUCGAGUGGUGCCCAAACGCACCUCAGAACUGGAGAAGAUGCUCCAGGAGAUCUCGGCGGCUCCUCUCAAGCCUUAGCAAUGCCUGGACCUCCUUAAGAAAUUUGCCAUCCCCAAGCUCACACACGAACUGGUCCUCGGGAAUGCCCAUUGAAACACUCUCAAAAAGAUGGACGUUCUCGUCCGGUCUCACGUUUGGAGUUGGCUCCGCCUGCCCAAGGACACGCCUCUGGGCUUUCUUCAUGCUUCAGUCCGAGACAGAGGUAUCGGGAUUCCAUGCUUCAUCACAAGUAUUCCUGUCCUUCAAAGCUGAUCCAGUCAAAGACCGACACUCGGAAUCGAUGGGAGAGAUCUCUUUGGCCAACCGGUCGACCUGGUAAGACAUCACUGGUUACAGUUUCCAGAAUGGGUCUUCCCUCCUCACCAUCUCCAAGGGGUUCAAUUGUGUGGUGGUCUUCUGCCAACUAAGCUUUGCAUGGCACGAGGCCCUCUGACCCCGAUAAAGCCUGCCGUGGUGCCUGCCAUCAACCUGAGAUGCUGAAUCACAUCCUGCAAGUCUGUGAAAUCACCCACAAUGCAAGGUGUAUGCGGCACAACAGGAUCGUCCAAAGAGUUGACCGACUCCUGAGAUGCAAGUAGCUACAGACCUAGAUCGAGCCCAUCAUUCCAUCUGGCUCGUCCUUUGUCAAGCCUGACAUCGUGGUGCUCACCAACAACCAGCUGGUACUCUUGGAUGUAUCCGUCAUGGGUGGCCAUCGCCUACAAGAGACCUUGGACCUGAAAUCGUCCAAGUAUGGCUCCCCUGUCUGCACCGCCAACCUGCAGAAAUGGCAUGGUUCGUUGAUCCCAAUUCGCUACUCUCCAAUCAUCAUCUCCAAUAGAGGCCUUCUCUUCACCAAGUCUAUUCGCCAUCUGCAUUCUCUCGGCCUAUCCUCCCGUGAUCUCUCCGACCAAUGCCUUCUGGCUAUUGCUGGCUCGCUCAGGUGCUACGACCUAUACACAAGAAGCACAACGGACUACAAAAGACACUGACAAAGAUGGAAUGCUGGUUCUAUAUGACCUGCCCUUGGGUGGCGUAGAUGUCAAUAGCGACACUCGCCUCAGACUGGCAUGUUACUAUAACUUGUUUGUAUAACUGGUUAAUUCUGACAAUAAAUGAUAUCUAGCCAAAUGAUCCA
ensembl:lncRNA